AUUGAACGCUGGCGGCAGGCCUAACACAUGCAAGUCGAACGAGUGGCGGACGGGUGAGUAAUGUCUGGGAAACUGCCUGAUGGAGGGGGAUAACUACUGGAAACGGUAGCUAAUACCGCAUACCAUCGGAUGUGCCCAGAUGGGAUUAGCUAGUAGGUGGGGUAAAGGCUCACCUAGGCGACGAUCCCUAGCUGGUCUGAGAGGAUGACCGGCCACACUGGAACUGAGACACGGUCCAUCCUCCUACGGGGGGCAGCAGGGGGGAAUAUGGCACAAUGGGCGCAGGCCUGAUGCAGCUAGGCCGGGGGUAUGAAGAAGGCCGUCGGGUUGUAAAUUACUUUCAGCGGGGAGGCGUUACCCGCAGAAGAAGCACCGGCUAACUCCGUGCCAGCAGCCGCGGAAUU
rnacentral:rRNA from 1 species